UAAGAAUAUAUGUGUACAAAGAUUUCUGGUUUGAUCACUUAGCCAUAAGCCAUUUAUCAAAAAGUGUUCAAACUGCAACAGGACAACCACAAGAUUGGAUAUGAGAGCCUGGUUGAGGCAGCUACCUUGGCUUCACAGAAACUCAUCAGUCAUGUUUAAGGGGAAUAUGUUGUCAUUCAAGCACUUAACAGAGCAUUCCCAAAGCAAAUUCUUUCACGGUGUUCACCACUUUGUUCUUCACUUGGUUAAUUGGCCCCUCCAAG